UACAGAGGUCUCAAGCGUUGUUCGGAUUCAUUGGGCGUAAAGGGUGUGUAGGUGGCGCCGUAAGUCGGGUGUGAAAUUUCGGAGCUUAACUGCGAAACUGCAUUCGAUACUGGCGUGCUUGAGGACUGGAGAGGAGACUGGAAUUCAUGGUGUAGCAGUGAAAUGCGUAGAGAUCAUGAGGAAGACCAGUGGCGAAGGCGGGUCUCUGGACAGUUCCUGACACUGAGACACGAAGGCCAGGGGAGCAAACGGGG
rnacentral:rRNA from 1 species